CCUUUAAAUAAUACAAACUAAAUGCUAAAAAUAUUUUUUAUAGUUUCUCACUAGUUUUGUUAAAAAUUGAUCUAAGCAUUGAUCGUCGCCAGUUUCUCUGGGUACCUUUGCUCAAGUUGUUCUACACGUGUCAACAUUUUUUAUUGGCUAAACACUCUGUCAAUUAAUCAAUGUUAAAUAUAUCUUCAUGCUUCUUUUCAUUUUGCUAAUUGAUAAUGCAACAGACCAAAAUUGGAUGGACUCGUUCCAAGAAGAAGUUGUUGAAAUAAAAAACAAAAUAAAAAAACAACAGAUAGAAUUUAACCAUCACAUGAGUAUGACUAUUUUUAUGUAACUCGGGGGCGGCUGAUUUAAAUAUACUUAUGAGCUUCUAUUUAAAUGAAUAGAAACAACUGACAAUGAAUUAUUAUUAGCACUAUGGCAAUAUUGGAAGAAAUACCAGUGAUUUUUAAAUGAGAUGACGCAAUUGUACGAAGCCUCGUGGUAAUAAAGAGCAUGUUAUUGCAUAUGAUUAAAUAAUUUUAUAAUACAUUACUCGUGUAAAGAAUUAUACGUUCGUACUAUACGAGUGAAUAGAUCAUUGAUCGUUCUAUAAAAAUACUUAUAAAGAAGCUAUAUAUUUUUUUUUUUGCAUAAAAAACUUGACAAUUUAUGAAUUAAUAAUGAAGAAAAAAAUAGUUAUUAUAAGUUAUAAGUAUUAUUAAGUGUAUAGUGAUUUUGUAUCAAGUAUCGAGCAUUUAAUCAAUUGAAUUCAAGGUGAAUGAGUAGUGCCAGACUGAUCGCGUAGUAUUAAUCAAUCUUUUGUCUGGCGUGAAUUUAAUGAGUAAUUGUAAUUAAUUUGUUACAAUGUAUUUUUGGUGAUUAACUGCUCUACAUUCAAUCAAACACGUGCUCUAUCGUUUAGGUGCAUAUAAAUGAUUGUAAUUGUAUGAUAUCAGCGGCUGUUACGUAUAUUUUAAAAAGCGCGCAAGUCCAAUGACGUUCAAGCUACUUUACUUCAUUCAUGGUAAGUUAGCUUGAACUUUAAUCAAAAUAAAAAUAAUAAACAAAAAUUUUAUUUAUUGUAAUGUUCACGCGAUAUUUAUUAGACAAAAUUGGAUUGAUUGAAACGGCGUCAAAGCGCUCUGAUAAAUUAGCGGAAGGCGUAUUUAAUUACGUGAGAAAUAAUUUAUGUGCAUGUCAACUAAUUAAUUAAAAAUAAAAUGAAGAAA